rnacentral:rRNA from 1 species
UUCCGGUUGAUCCUGCCGGAGGCUACCGCUAUUGGAGUUCGAUUAAGCCAUGCGAGUCGCGAGAAAUUAGAUUCUCGGCGUACCGCUCAGUAACACGUGGGUAACCUGCCCUAUGCUGGAUAAUAACCUCGGGAAACUGAGUAUAAUGAUCCAUAGUUCACUACGCCUGGAACGGUGAGUGGAUGAAAGCUCCGGCGGCAUAGGAUGGGCCUGCGGCGUAUCAGGUAGUAGGGGGUGUAACGUACCCUCUAGCCCUCUACGCGUACGGGUGUUGGGAGACAUAGCCCGGAGAUGGAUUCUGAGACACGAAUCCAGACCCUACGGGGUGCAGCAGGCGCGAAAACUUGGCAAUGCGAGAAAUCGUGACCAGGGAACUCCAAGUGCAUCGGGUAAGACCGGUGCUUUUCUUGACUCUAAAUAGGUCUUGGAAUAAGGGGUGGGUAAGGACGGUGCCAGCCGCCGCGGUAAUACCGGCGCCUCAAGUGGUAGUCGCUUUUAUUGGGCCUAAAACGUCCGUAGCCGGUCUGAUACAUUCGUGGGUAAAUCAACCAGCUCAACUGGUUGAAUUCUGCGAGGACGGUCAGACUUGGGACCGGGAGAGGUGUGGGGUACGCUCAGGGUAGGGGUAAAUCCUGUCAUCUGAGCGGACACCUGUGCGAAGAGCACAU